rnacentral:rRNA from 1 species
GACGAACGCUGGCGGCGUGCCUAAUACAUGCAAGUAGAACGCACAGUUUAUACCGUAGCUUGCUACACCAUAGACUGUGAGUUGCGAACGGGUGAGUAACGCGUAGGUAACCUGCCUGGUAGCGGGGGAUAACUAUUGGAAACGAUAGCUAAUACCGCAUAAUAUUGAUUAUUGCAUGAUAAUUGAUUGAAAGAUGCUAUUGCAUCACUACCAGAUGGACCUGCGUUGUAUUAGCUAGUAGGUGAGGUAACGGCUCACCUAGGCGACGAUACAUAGCCGACCUGAGAGGGUGAACGGCCACACUGGGACUGAGACACGGCCCAGACUCCUACGGGAGGCAGCAGUAGGGAAUCUUCGGCAAUGGACGAAAGUCUGACCGAGCAACGCCGCGUGAGUGAAGAAGGGUGUCGGAUCGUAAAGCUCUGUUGUAAGAGAAGAACGGGUGUGAGAGUGGAAAGUUCACACUGUGACGGUAGCUUACCAGAAAGGGACGGCUAACUACGUG